UUCCAGAUGACGAGUCCCGAACAGGACGAAACGCGCAUCUUGGAU
rnacentral:hammerhead_ribozyme from 1 species